UACGUAGGGGGCAAGCGUUGUCCGGAAUCAUUGGGCGUAAAGAGCGUGUAGGCGGCUCGGUAAGUCCGCUGUGAAAGUCAAAGGCUCAACCUUUGAAUGUCAGCGGAUACUGCCGGGCUAGAGUCCGGAAGAGGCGAGUGGAAUUCCUGGUGUAGCGGUGGAAUGCGCAGAUAUCAGGAGGAACACCAACGGCGAAGGCAGCUCGCUAGGACGGUACUGACGCUGAGACGCGAAAGCGUGGGGAGCAAACAGG
rnacentral:rRNA from 1 species